rnacentral:lncRNA from 1 species
GAUGGCAUUUUAUUUAUUACUUUUAAUAAUUAUUUAAACUAUAUCAUAUGCAAACUAAAAUUAUCAAAGUUUUGUUGCUAUUACAUAAAACUAAAUAUAGAUAAAGAAAAUAUGAAGUUGUAAAAGAGAAAUCGUAUAUACUAAAAUAUGUACCAUAAAUAUAAUAUAAUAUAUUAUGUGCUGAAAUAUAUGCAACCUCAAGAAGGAAUGGAAAGUUUCCAUACUGCUAAUGAUACAGAUACUAAAAAAGUAGGCUUUUAAAACAUAUAUCAUAAAAGUCAUGGGUACAAAAGCAAUGUCCAGCUAACUUUUCAAAAUUUUUGCUACAAUAACUUUUCCAUGAUAGGAAGGACCAACAAUUAAGCAGUCAAAGAAAGAUAUGACUUAAUAAAAAACUAAUAUAUAUAGGGCA